UUAGCUAGUUGGUANGGUAAUGGCUUACCAAGGCGACGAUCAGUAUCUGGUUUGAGAGGAUGAUCAGCCACACNGGNACUGAGACACGGNCCAGACUCCUACGGGAGGCAGCAGUGGGGAAUUUUCCGCAAUGGGCGAAAGCCUGACGGAGCAAUACCGCGUGAGGGAAGAAAGCCUACUGGGUUGUAAACCUCUUUUUUCANGGAGGAAAAAAAUGACGUGUACCUGAAGAAUAAGCAUCGGCUAACUCCGUGCCAGCAGCCGCGGUAAGACGGAGGAUGCAAGUGUUAUCCGGAAUUAUUGGGGUAAAAGNCGUCCGAA
rnacentral:rRNA from 1 species